rnacentral:rRNA from 1 species
AGAGUUUGAUCCUGGCUCAGAACGAACGCUGGCGGCGUGCUUAACACAUGCAAGUCGAACGCGAAAGGGACUUCGGUCCUGAGUAAAGUGGCGCACGGGUGAGUAACGCGUAGAUAACCUGUCUUUAUGUCUGGAAUAAUACGCCGAAAGGGGUACUAAUACCGGAUAUUCUUGCUUUAUAUAAGUUUUGCAAGCAAAGGUGGCCUCUGGCAUAAGCUACUGCAUAAAGAGGGGUCUGCGUACCAUUAGCUUGUAGGUGGGGUAAUGGCCUACCUAGGCGACGAUGGUUAGCGGGUCUGAGAGGAUGAUCCGCCACACUGGCACUGGAACACGGGCCAGACUCCUACGGGAGGCAGCAGUGAGGAAUAUUGCGCAAUGGGGGCAACCCUGACGCAGCGACGCCGCGUGAGCGAGGAAGGCCUUCGGGUCGUAAAGCUCUGUCAAAGGGAAAGAAAUGUAUAAUGGUUAAUACCUGUUAUAUUUGACGGUACCCUUAAAGGAAGCACCGGCUAACUCCGUGCCAGCAGCCGCGGUAAUA